CUCGGAGUCUUUGACGCAAGUUGCGCCCGAAGCCAUUAGGCCGAGGGCACGCCUGCCUGGGUGUCACACAUCGUCAUCCCCAUGCAAAUGCGCAUCGGGGCAAAAGCUGGCCUCCCGCGAGACAACCAACGUGGCUGGUCGAAAACCAAGUUAACGUCGGGGGUCCCCCCGCCACAAACGGUGGAUGAGCAGUGCUCGAGACCAACGGCGGAGGGGGACACCCGGUACUACAAUUUGUGGGCCCUAUUGCGUUCUUUGUAGAAAGCAAAGACGCUCCUAAAGAGACCUCAGGUCAGGCGGGGCUACCCGCUGAGUUUAAGCAUAUCAAUAAGCGGAGGAAAAGAAACUAACAAGGAUUCCCUUAGUAACGGCGAGCGAACCGGGAACAGCCCACCAUGAGAAUCGGUCGCCUUUGGCGUUCGAAUUGUAGUCUG
rnacentral:rRNA from 1 species